UAUUUUUGAAAGAUUUGAAUAAUUUAUCGGGAAGUAUCCAAAUUGUAUGAAGGCAAGCUAUUACAUUCUGUUAUUUGAUGCUACAGGAAGAUUCAAUUAUAUAAGCCUACAAUGACGUAUUAUUCAAAUGUGUAUACAAAUUUCCAGUCGUCCGCCUAUUUGUCCGCCCAUCCCAGUCAAUCUAUCACCAACAGUUUGUAUGAUAAAUUUGCUUUAACCAAUUUUCAUAUAAUUACAAAAAAAAACCACAACAUUAGCAUUGACAGGAAAACCUAAGCUUUGCCGUUUCUGAGUAACCGGACUUUAAAAAAGACAAUUCUUCACAUAAUGCGUACCAGAG
rnacentral:lncRNA from 1 species